UGGGGAAUAUUGGACAAUGGGCGCAAGCCUGAUCCAGCAAUGCCGCGUGAGUGAAGAAGGCCUUCGGGUUGUAAAGCUCUUUUACCCGGGAAGAUAAUGACUGUACCGGGAGAAUAAGCCCCGGCUAACUCCGUGCCAGCAGCCGCGGUAAUACGGAGGGGGCUAGCGUUGUUCGGAAUUACUGGGCGUAAAGCGCACGUAGGCGGUUUUUCAAGUCAGAGGUGAAAGCCCGGGGCUCAACUCCGGAAUUGCCUUUGAAACUGGGAGACUUGAACACGGGAGAGGUGAGUGGAAUUCCGAGUGUAGAGGUGAAAUUCGUAGAUAUUCGGAGGAACACCAGUGGCGAAGGCGGCUCACUGGACCGUAGUUGACGCUGAGGUGCGAAAGCGUGGGGAGCAAACAG
rnacentral:rRNA from 1 species